rnacentral:rRNA from 1 species
AGGACGAACGCUGGCGGCGCGCUUAACACAUGCAAGUCGUACGGGGCUCCUUCGGGGGUUCAGUGGCGAACGGGUGCGUAACACGUGAGUGACCUGCCCUUGUGCGGGGGAUAACCCGGGGAAACCCGGGCUAAUACCGCAUGCACUCUUCUGGCUUCAUGGCUGGGAGAGGAAAGAUGCUGUAAGGCAUCGCGCAGGGAGGGGCUCGCGGCGUAUCA